rnacentral:rRNA from 1 species
AACGAACGCUGGCGGCAGGCCUAACACAUGCAAGUCGAGCGAGGACUUCGGUUCUAGCGGCGGACGGGUGAGUAACGCGUGGGAAUGUGCCCUUCUCUACGGAAUAGCCCUGGGAAACUGGGAGUAAUACCGUAUACGCCCUAUUGGGGAAAGAUUUAUCGGAGAAGGAUCAGCCCGCGUUGGAUUAGGUAGUUGGUGGGGUAAUGGCCUACCAAGCCGACGAUCCAUAGCUGGUUUGAGAGGAUGAUCAGCCACACUGGGACUGAGACACGGCCCAGACUCCUACGGGAGGCAGCAGUGGGGAAUCUUAGACAAUGGGGGCAACCCUGAUCGAGCCAUGCCGCGUGAGUGAUGAAGGCCUUAGGGUUGUAAAGCUCUUUCAGCUGGGAAGAUAAUGACGGUACCAGCAGAAGAAGCCCCGGCUAACCCCGUG